GAUGAAGAACGUAGCGAAAUGCGAUAAGUAAUGUGAAUUGCAGAAUUCAGUGAAUCAUCGAAUCUUUGAACGCACAUUGCGCCCGCCAGUAUUCUGGCGGGCAUGCCUGUUCGAGCGUCAUUACAACCCUCAGGCCCCCGGGCCUGGCGUUGGGGAUCGGCGGAGCCCCCCGUGGGCACACGCCGUCCCCCAAAUACAGUGGCGGUCCCGCCGCAGCUUCCAUCGCGUAGUAGCUAACACCUCGCGACUGGAGGGCGGCGCGGCCACGCCGUAAAACACCCAACUCUUCUGAAGUUGACCUCGAAUCAGGUAGGAAUACCCGCUGAACUUAAGCAUAUCAAUAAGCGGAGGA
rnacentral:misc_RNA from 1 species